rnacentral:rRNA from 1 species
AUUGAACGCUGGCGGCAUGCUUUACACAUGCAAGUCGAACGGCAGCGCGGGCUUCGGCCUGGCGGCGAGUGGCGAACGGGUGAGUAAUGCAUCGGAACGUGCCCAGUAGUGGGGGAUAGCCCGGCGAAAGCCGGAUUAAUACCGCAUACGACCUGAGGGUGAAAGCGGGGGACCGAAAGGCCUCGCGCUAUUGGAGCGGCCGAUGUCGGAUUAGCUAGUUGGUGGGGUAAAGGCUUACCAAGGCGACGAUCCGUAGCUGGUCUGAGAGGACGACCAGCCACACUGGGACUGAGACACGGUCCAGACUCCUAAGGGAGGCAGCAGUGGGGAAUUUUGGACAAUGGGGGCAACCCUGAUCCAGCCAUGCCGCGUGCGGGAAGAAGGCCUUCGGGUUGUAAACCGCUUUUGUUCGGGAAGAAAUCCUCUGGGCUAAUACCCCGGGGGGAUGACGGUACCGGAAGAAUAAGCACCGGCUAACUACGUG